UNGCUCAGGAUGCAACAACUGCCCGGGA
rnacentral:piRNA from 1 species